rnacentral:rRNA from 1 species
UACGAAGGGGGCUAGCGUUGCUCGGAAUCACUGGGCGUAAAGGGUGCGUAGGCGGGUCUUUAAGUCAGGGGUGAAAUCCUGGAGCUCAACUCCAGAACUGCCUUUGAUACUGAAGAUCUUGAGUUCGGGAGAGGUGAGUGGAACUGCGAGUGUAGAGGUGAAAUUCGUAGAUAUUCGCAAGAACACCAGUGGCGAAGGCGGCUUUCUGGCCUGUAACUGACGCUGAGGCGCGAAAGCGUGGGGAGCAAACAGG